AACGGCGAGUGAAGCGGCAAGAGCUCAAAUUUGAAAUCUGGCCUCCCCCGGGGGCCCGAGUUGUAAUUUGCAGAGGAUGUUUCGGGUGCGGCCGCCGUCUAAGUUCCUUGGAACAGGACGUCAGAGAGGGUGAGAAUCCCGUCUUGGGCGGGCGGUCCGCGCCCGUGUGAAGCUCCUUCGACGAGUCGAGUUGUUUGGGAAUGCAGCUCUAAGCGGGUGGUAAAUUUCAUCUAAAGCUAAAUAUUGGCCGGAGACCGAUAGCGCACAAGUAGAGUGAUCGAAAGGUUAAAAGCACCUUGAAAAGGGAGUUAAACAGCACGUGAAAUUGUUGAAAGGGAAGCGCUUGCGGCCAGACUCGGGGGCGGGGUUCAGCGGGUGCUCGUCGCCCGUGUAUUCCUCGUUUCCCGGGCCAGCAUCAGUUUCGACGGCCGGUCAAAGGCCCCCGGAAUGUGUCGUCUCUCGGGACGUCUUAUAGCCGGGGGUGCAAUGCGGCCCGUCGGGACUGAGGAACGCGCUCCGGCUCGGAUGCUGGCGUAAUGGCCGUAAGCGGCCCGUCUUGAAACACGGACCAAGGAGUCUAACAUCCACGCGAGUGUUCGGGUGUCAAACCCGUGCGCGCAGUGAAAGCGAACGGAGGUGGGAGCCCUAGGGCGCACCAUCGACCGAUCCUGAAGUCUUCGGAUGGAUUUGAGUAGGAGCGUGGCCGUUGGGACCCGAAAGAUGGUGAACUAUGCCUGAAUAGGGUGAAGCCAGAGGAAACUCUGGUGGAGGCUCGCAGCGGUUCUGACGUGCAAAUCGAUCGUCGAAUUU
rnacentral:rRNA from 2 species